AAAAAAAAACUGAUAUUCAAAGUUGAGUGAAGUGUUAUCGGAUAAACAAAUCUCCUCUAGACAUCUUAUCUGCAGUCUCCUCAAAAUCUAACGGUUAAGACAAUGGAUCUUAUCCCUCAGCAACCCAGUUUCCACAAUCCCUCAUCCGACCAAGAUCUCCCUAAUCACGGAACUUCCAGUUGCUAGGAGAAAUUCACUUCACAGGUUCUUGGCGAAGAGAAUACAUAGGUGUGGAGGACGAGUACCAUAUCAUAAUAACUCCGGUAGUCACUUGGGAACCGUGUCUCAGUCACGGCUUGAAAGCAAGUGGUGGUUGGGGUUGGCACCUGCGGCAUCUCAGCUACCUCAAUAGUAAUAUUUUCUUUCUUUUAUGAAAACGAGAUUAUAUGUGUCUUAUGGUCCGAUCAACUCUUCUCGCGGAUCUGAGACCUUAAAACAAAAUAAAUUUUGGUAGCAAUUCAUUUCUUAGAUCUUGUUUGAAUUAGUCAGAUUUGGGCCAGAGAAAACCAUGAUUUUUCCUUGGUUUUUCUUAGACGCAAAUCGGUAAUGAGUUUAGAUAGUAUCCUUGUUUGUUUUUUAGUUUUUUUUGGUUGAGACUUGUUAGAAACAGGAUACCAUUUCCGUUUUAUAA